rnacentral:tRNA from 1 species
CGGGGCGUAGCGCAGCCUGGUAGCGCAUCUGAAUGGGGUUCAGAAGGUCGCGAGUUCGAAUCUCGCCGCCCCGACCA